rnacentral:rRNA from 1 species
GGAGUUAGCCGGUGCUUCUUCUGCGAGUAACGUCACAGAUGUAAGGUAUUAACUUACACCCUUUCCUCCUCGCUGAAAGUGCUUUACAACCCGAAGGCCUUCUUCACACACGCGGCAUGGCUGCAUCAGGGUUUCCCCCAUUGUGCAAUAUUCCCCACUGCUGCCUCCCGUAGGAGUCUGGGCCGUGUCUCAGUCCCAGUGUGGCUGAUCAUCCUCUCAGACCAGCUAGGGAUCGUCGCCUAGGUGAGCCUUUACCUCACCUACUAGCUAAUCCCACCUGGGCUUAUCCAUCAGCGCAAGGCCCGAAGGUCCCCUGCUUUCCCCCGUAGGGCGUAUGCGGUAUUAGCAGUCGUUUCCAACUGUUAUCCCCCACAAUGGGCAAAUUCCCAGGCAUUACUCACCCGUCCGCCGCUCGUCAUCUUCAAAGCAAGCUUUUGAAUGUUACCGCUCGACUUGCAUGUGUUAGGCCUGCCGCCAGCGUUCAAUCUGAGCCAUGAUCAAACUCUGA